UUUUUAUCCUUUUUCCCUACUUCAGGGCUAGUUGUCAUGUUUGGACUUGGAGUUUUUUUUGCAAAUAUGAAAAUAUCAUAAAUUUUUUGACCUUGUAAAAUUCGUUGGGUGGCUAUACUUGUCUUGAAAUGAAAUUAGAGUAUAAAUUUUUUUACCUUGUAAAAUUUGCUCUACAGGGGAGGGACUUGGUGGUUUUUCAUGUAAAUGAAAUUAGAUUAUAAAUUUUUUAACCAUGUAAAAUUUGCUCUAUAAGGGUUACUUCAGGGCUAGUUUCUUGGUAUGAGCCAAGGACCAUAUUUUUGUGUUACACUUUCAGCUUCUCAGCUAUAACACCUUCAACACAAGGAGAAAGUCCCCG
rnacentral:misc_RNA from 1 species